rnacentral:rRNA from 1 species
AUACAGAGGGUGCAAGCGUUAAUCGGAUUUACUGGGCGUAAAGCGCGCGUAGGUGGCUAAUUAAGUCAAAUGUGAAAUCCCCGAGCUUAACUUGGGAAUUGCAUUCGAUACUGGUUAGCUAGAGUAUGGGAGCGGAUGGUAGAAUUCCAGGUGAAGCGGUGAAAUGCGUAGAGAUCUGGAGGAAUACCGAUGGCGAAGGCAGCCAUCUGGCCUAAUACUGACACUGAGGGGCGAAAGCAUGGGGAGCAAACAGGAUUAGAUACCCUGGUAGUCCAUGCCGUAAACGAUGUCUACUAGCCGUUGGGGCCCUUGAGGCUUUAGUGGCGCAGCUAACGCGAUAAGUAGACCGCCUGGGGAGUACGGUCGCAAGACUAAAACUCAAAGGAAUGGACGGGG